AGUCAUAUGCUUGUCUCAAAGACUAAGCCAUGCAUGUCUAAGUUUAAGCGAUUUACACUGUGAGACUGCGGACGGCUCAUUAUAUCAGUUAUAGUUUAUUUGAUGGUCACCACUACAAGGAUAACCGUAGUAAUUCUAGAGCUAAUACUUGCACUAAAGUCACUUUUGUGAUUGCAUUUAUUAGAUUUCCCACCAAUCUGCUCUGCAGUUCGGUGAAUCAUAGUAACUAAGCGGAUCAAAUCGUCAGAUUUGACGCUUCAUUCAAGUUUCUGCCCUAUCAGCUUUCGAAGGUAGUGUAUUGGACUACCUUGGCAUUGACGGGUAACGGAGAAUUAGGGUUCGAUUCCGGAGAGGGAGCCUGAGAAACGGCUACCACAUCCAAGGAAGGCAGCAGGCGCGUAAAUUACCCAAUCCUAACGCAGGGAGGUAGUGACAAGAAAUAACGAUAGCUCAUCAUUUUUGGUAAGCUGAUCGGAAUGAGUACAAUCUAAACACCUUAACGAUUAACGAU
rnacentral:rRNA from 1 species